rnacentral:misc_RNA from 1 species
CCCUACACGUUGAUUGUUGUUACACAUACAGUGUAGUAGAGCUCCAAUGUUAAUUGCGCCCGACAAGAAAAUUGAGCGAGCAGUGUGCCCAAAUCCUGAAAUUACCGGUGAACCAUUUCAGUAUUGCAAAUAUUUAUUUCGUAGAUCAAUCGAUUACUACACCGUUAGAUGCACGUGUUGGUUUGUAACAGCAUCGAAUGAACACAGCAUCGUCUUUUCAUGUGAUAAGAUGACGCGGAUGUGAACCGGAAAUGCGAAAAGAUUAGGUUAGCGUGGGAGAUGUCGGCACCCGCUUUUUUAUUUGCGAAGAUUUCACACGAACGCUAGAAAAACAACGUUACAGAUUCACUUUGAGCGUGCAUCAGUGAAGAUUAAGGGACACGGUGUUAUAAACUCUGUUCAAUCAAAAUGUUUAUCGAAACGCUAGAGUUCACAAUCCCGAUAGAUUUGUGUGACCUAUUUUCCACUUUGAAAAAGGGUCCAAGAUCUAAUCUUGAAUUCCCGGCAUCCGUGAAUUCGUACGGCACAACGCAAGAUGCUAAUAUUCAAGUUGCUUUAAGAUCAAACAAAUUGACGUUCAAAGUGGACGGUGUGUCGUCAAAUUCAAGCAUGAUAUCAAAGAGUGAAUGCAAGACAUUGAAAUUGUCUGUAUUCGAUGUGGACUGUUCAUUGUCUGGUGCAGAAUACGAACAAGUGACACAUAUGGUUUCACAGCCAAUUUAUUCAGCCCCACAUGUUGUACCUGCAAAAAGAUCUCGAGAUCGUCCAUCACCGAUGAAAUCCCCUCCAUCCAAGUCUAGCCGAAGUUCUUUCCAAGAGACAAUAAAACAUGAAAACAUUCCUCGACAGUCACCGGACCCAUUGCAAUCAAGAUCAAUGAGUGAAACAGUGAGUGUGAAAGUGGAACCAGAUUUAAUAGAAAUUGAACCUGAUUCGGAACACUAUGGAGAUGAAUCAAAUCAAAGCAUAGACAGAAGACAUAAUACGCAAGCAGCAUUAGAUAGACUCUCUCAUCCACAAUCAUCACAUUCUCAAUCAUCAGCAUCUUCAUCCUCAUCCUUCCAUCAAAACGUUCCACAUGUGCCAGAUUACGCCGAACCCAGUACUAGCCAAGAUCAUCAUGGUGACCAAAAUGUCGAUGACUACGUAGUGUACCAACAAGAAGAUGAUGAUUAUGGUGAAGAAAAUGAUAACAGCGCUGAUUUCGGAAAUGAUGGUCAACAGAGUUCAGUUGGCUUCAGUCCGGCAGGUAGCUCUCUGUAUGAAAAAAAUGACAAUAAGCAACACCUGGCUCUCAGAGCUUCAUCCCUGAGCUUUGACCCGCUGAGAGAACCCAGUGCUCAUCCCUCCUCCUUCCCUGCCCUGAUUGACGUUACGAGAUAUAUGGGAGCCUGGCCGGGCCGGCCGCCUGUGUCUGGCCCCAGUGGCUUGAUGGACUUGGGGGGUGGGGCUGUAGAUAAAGUGGCUUGUCCCCUCUGUGACAAGUCCUUCCUCAGCAUGCGGGCCAUGCAGAACCACUACGCAACCAUUCAUGAUAACGUCACGUUUGACUGUAGGUGUGGAAAGUCGUAUAAGUCACGGAAUGGACUGUGGCUUCAUAGGAAGAAAUGCAUGGUCCACCAGAUAUGUCAGGCAGAAAAUCAAAUAGAUAUACAAUAAUUUAAAGCAGUCUCAAACCUAUGGUUUGAUGUUGAAAUGGAUGUCAAUAAUCACUCAAGUCUCCUUGGAUCAUGAUGAUGAUGAUGUUGGAAAUUUGGUCGCCAGAAUAAAAACAUAAAUCUGCUGUUGUUGUCUUGAACAGCAGAGAUCUUUGUCCAACAGUUGUCCAACAGUUGUCCAACAGUUGUCCAACAGAUGCUGGUUGUUUUGACUGCAAGAAAUCUUCAGAUUCAUUGAGGUCCGACGUUAAUGGUUUGUAAUACUGUUCAUUUAUUGGAAUUUGAACAGUGAUGCGAAUGGUUGAGGGUGAAACUACGUCCCCUAAAAAGAAAUGCACAUGUGGUUUUCAAGAAAUUCAUUCUGUGACUGCUACAAGGCUUUGAAAGCGAUUUGUGGGACAUGGGUGUGUUUGGAGGAUUACAAAGUGAAACAGUUAAUCAAAUAUUAAAAAGCCUGGUAUUGUCGUGUCUACCAUUGUUGGAAAAUGUUGUUAGCAACAUCCGGUAUAACACUCAUUCCAUCACCAACAAACACAGAUCUACCCAUCUCUCCGCAAACCACCUUCAAUAACAUAAUUUAGGUGGUUCCAUCACACCCAGUUUGCCGAUAUAUUUCCCUCAAAUGCGGUCUGGGUUUUGGACAGGCCAAGGUGGUGCUGGAGGACGUCCUCAGACCGGUCCUCAGAUCGGUUCUGCCCCAGGGUCGGGCAUGGGGUCAGCUGGGACAGACAUGGGGUCAGACAGAAGGAAACUGGCUUGUUCCUACUGUAAUAAGACCUUUAUUGCCCCAAGUGCUUUGAAAUACCAUCGGGAGUCUGUUCAUGAGGGAGCAGUUCACCAAUGUGUCUGUGGGAAGACCUACAAAUAUAACCCCGGUCUCAUCGCUCAUAGGCGGACUUGCCCAGUGAUGUUAGCCCUGAAUAACACUGCUUGAUCUGGAAGAGGGAGUUCACUCUGUUGGGAGGAUACGUUUUGUGGUUUUGUCCAUAUUGUCAUCUUGGAUGGAUUAUUGUUGGGUUUUGCGAAGGACUGCUCGGUCAAGUGAUCGAUUUUGGGGUUUGUGGAUUUCAAAGGAAGGUCAACCUCCAUGCUUUCAGUGAAAUCCCUCUGCACACCUGCCUCCAGGAGGACCACAAGGAGAAGCCUGCAGGAUGCAUCCAUGUCAAGACGCGCAUCUCUCAGUCCCACCGUUGUAAGAGACAGUGCCAAGAAACUCGUAGUAGCAUCAGCCGUCGGACAGAAGAGGAGAUUCUCCUGCCCGCAAUGCAACAGGAGUUUCAGUUCCACAGUUGACAUGGCGAUGCAUGUGCGGUACAACCAUAAGUGUGUCUGUGGGCAGGUGUUCCGAUUCCAGACUGGCUUGAUGGCUCACAAGAGAGUGUGUUUCUCAGCCAGGGCUGCCAAGUGAGGACACUCUUCCGUGGCAUUGACAGCAGAUAAAAAGGGUCUUGUUGGUUGUCAAUUUGUGAUGGUAAUUGUAACUGAUGGCUGUUGCUUUAAAUUUCUUUCCAAGUGGAAUUCAAGAUUUGGAAACAGCAAUAUUGAAAAACCUUGAGUAUGAGGAAGGAAAAUAGCAUUGUCUUAUAAUGAGUUUGUUUGGUCAGAUGCAAGGCUCAAGGUAUAUCAUCUGUAUAAACGCAUUUAGAGGAUGAUAGGCCUGAUUGCUUUGGGUAUUGUAUGAGAGCGAAUUUUGCAUCGGAAACACACACUUUACACAGACUGCUUAUUUUUGUGUUGGUUAAAACUUGGGCUCCAUUGUCCCCCUGUUGUUUGUGAUAAUGUAUCUGAGUAAAGUAUUUAAAGAUGAAAUGAAUACAAAUGAAGAUCAGGAUUUUUCUCAUUUACAGAUUGUUUACUCCUUAGUCAAACAAGCAGGUUAUCUGCAAGACACUCUAACAGACUGCAUCAAAAAUGGAAAGAGAUGCUUCUGAGGUAGCUAUGAUGUUGCUGCUGGAACAUGGCUGAAUAGUGGUGACCCCGCUGUCCAUGUGACAGCAGAAAGACAGUUAGUUGUUGGUUGACAUCUUGGUUCUUCAGAAACAUGGUUGAAUAUGUGUGACCUAGCUGUCCAUGUGACAGCAGAAAGACAGGCAGUUCUCACUAGAUACCAUGGUUCUUCAGAAAGACAGUUAGUUGUUGGUUGACAUCUUGGUUCUACAGAAACAUGGUUGAAUAUGUGUGACCUAGCUGUCCAUGUGACAGCAGAAAGACAGGCAGUUCUCACUAGAUACCAUGGUUCUUCAGAAAGACAGUUAGUUGUUGGUUGACAUCUUGGUUCUACAGAAACAUGGUUGAAUAUGUGUAACCUGUGACAGCAGAAAGACAGGCAGUUCUCACUAGAUACCAUGGUUCUUCAGAAAGACAGUUAGUUGUUGGUUGACAUCUUGGUUCUACAGAAACAUGGUUGAAUAUGUGUGACCUAGCUGUCCAUGUGACAGCAGAAAGACAGGCAGUUCUCACUAGAUACCAUGGUUCUUCAGAAAGACAGUUAGUUGUUGGUGGACAUCUUGGUUCUACAGAAACAUGGUUGAAUAUGUGUAACCUGUGACAGCAGAAAGACAGGCAGUUCUCACUAGAUACCAUGGUUCUUCAGAAAGACAGUUAGUUGUUGGUGGACAUCUUGGUUCUUCAGGAACAUGGUUGAAUAGUGGUGACCUAGCUGUCCAUGUGACAGCAGAAAGACAGGCAGUUCUCACUAGAUACCAUGGUUCUUCCAAAAAACAGUCAGUUGUUGGUGGACAUCUUGGUUCUUCAGAAAGACAGUCAGUUGUUGGUGGACAUCUUGGUUCUUCAGAAAAACAGUCAGUUGUUGGUGGACAUUUUGGUUCUUCAGGAACAUGGUUGCAUCCUGAGUGAGCUGAACAGAUAAAAGGGUCAUGGUCAAUUAGGAUAUGGUACAUCUUUGACCGAGACAUUUGUCAGUUGUGGUGAUUCAUCAAGUGUGGUGAAAACAAGGGGGAAAGAGUGUCCAGUUUGCGGGAGGAUGUUUUCCGACUCCAGCGCUAUGAAUUAUCACAAGGAAGCUGCUCAUGAGAAUAAGAACUAUCAGUGUGCUUGUGGAAGGGUUUUCUGAUACAAGCCAGGACAAUUCAAGCAUGGAAGGAAAUGUUGUUUCCUUAUGUAGAUGUGGGGGGCACGGGUGGCCCAGUCGUCUAAGGUGCCGCGACUCGCUGCGCAGAGUUGCGUCCCUUGGGCACGCCAGAAACCUAUGAUUGUGGGUUUGAAUCCCGGUUCGCGCCUAUUAUGUUUCUAGGUUUGUCAGCACCAUACCCGUGCUCUUGGGUUUCACCGAAGUGGUAAACGUCUGAGACCUGCAUCACUUCGGGCUUUCCUCCCACAUUAAGCUGACACGCCGUGAUAUGACUGGAAUACUGUUAAAAGCGGCGUUAAGCCCAACUCACUCACUCACUUAUGUAGAUUUGUUUUCAUGAGCAGCCACUGUUUUGUAUUAGCGGCCUGGGUGGCCAAGUAGUCAGUUAGCCGUAAUUGACUCUACUGGAUCUGUUGGUUGUGACUUUGAGUCCCUUCAUCUGUCAGAAGUUCAGAACCAUGACAUGGUGUUUCUAGUAGCUUUUCUUGAAUGUUAAGCUGAAAGGCUGUGAGAUACAGCACUGAACUCAAUGUUACUCACUGCUCACUUGGAACAGUACUUGACAGAACCACCAACAUACUGUGUUCUGUAUUUGCCCUUUUGAGAAAGUUGAUGUUAGAGGGAAAAAGAACCCUUGCAGACACAAGAUUUGAUUAUGACAGACCUCAGUGAUAUACCAGAUACUUACCUCAGAAGUGUGUUCGCCAUGGGGAACUGGUCAUUUAAUGUUUUUGGUUGAUGCUUUGGAUUUUGUAACUUUUUAUUUUUUAUUUUUGGCAACUGUUUCAACACAUACAAUUAUUAUUCCUCACAGGAGUAGCAGAAUGAAUGUUUUUGUUUCUUUUUAAACUUGAAGUAACACAUAUAUAUUUUUCCCGUAAUGUCUGUGACAAUUUAUUUGGUACAAAACCGUUUCAGCACCAACACACAAAAUACCAUGGUUGAUUCUUAUGAUUAUGUGGUUAUUGGGAGGCAAGAUUCAAUAUGUUUGAACAACCCCCACUGGCCUAUGGCCAUAGUGGCAUUAUGCAUAGGACCUUUCUUGUUUAUUUAUAAGAUGUUUUGUGCUGACCAUGAAUUUUAUAGAUAUUUUCUAUCCAUGUUUGUCUUGAAAACACUCAUUAUUGCGUUGGAAGACAACCCACUUUUAUGAUAUCAUGAUACCAUACAUGACCGCAGAUGAGCUGAACUCUUUCAUCAUUUCUGCACUCAAAUCAUUUCGGUCGUAAUUCUGUGGUUUACAUUCUGUCUCAAGUUUAAUCCUGUUAAUGUAAAAGUAGUCAUUAUUCAUGCAAUUCUCAUCUUCUGACUAUAUAUGCAUGUAUAACUUUCAUAAUAAAUUAGUUGACAUC